UUUUCGUCAAUUGCGAUAUAGGUCUUUUUUGAUAAUUUUGUAAAUUGGUAUUUCAAUCUUUUGCUUUUGGCAAAUUUGCGUAUGUUUUUAGGAGUAGAAAUUGCCAUAUGUAUUAGAUUUCGUUUCUACAAAAAAAAUAAAUUGCAAACCCGCCUUUUUUUUGACUUCUCAUUGCAUCUCUAUGUCUUCUAAUGACAUAACACUCUAAUGACAUAACACUCUAGGACUCUAGGAC
rnacentral:lncRNA from 1 species